AUUGAACGCUGGCGGCAUGCUUUACACAUGCAAGUCGAACGGUAACAGGCCUUCGGGUGCUGACGAGUGGCGAACGGGUGAGUAAUGCAUCGGAGCGUACCCAGAGGUGGGGGAUAACGCAGCGAAAGCUGUGCUAAUACCGCAUGUGAUCUGAGGAUGAAAGCGGGGGACCGAGCAGCAAUGUUUGGCCUCGCGCCUUUGGAGCGGCCGAUGUCGGAUUAGCUAGUUGGUGGGGUAAAGGCCCACCAAGGCGACGAUCCGUAGCUGGUCUGAGAGGACGACCAGCCACACUGGGACUGAGACACGGCCCAGACUCCUACGGGAGGCAGCAGUGGGGAAUUUUGGACAAUGGGCGCAAGCCUGAUCCAGCAAUGCCGCGUGCGGGAAGAAGGCCUUCGGGUUGUAAACCGCUUUUGGCAGGAACGAAACGGUGUCCGCUAAUACCGGGCGCUAAUGACGGUACCUGCAGAAUAAGCACCGGCUAACUACGUG
rnacentral:rRNA from 1 species